GGAGGAGCUCUGCUUCAGCUGUGGGGCCACAGAAGGCAGGACUCAGGGAUGGACUCCACCAUGGCCUGGUCCCCUCUCCUACUCACCCUCCUGGCUCACUGCACAGGGUCCUGGGCCCAGGCUGUGCUGACUCAGCCGCCCUCAGUGUCUGGGAACCCAGGACAGACCGUCACCAUCUCCUGCACUGGAAGCAGUACCAACAUCGGGGGUGGUAAUUAUGUAUACUGGCACCAACAGUUCCCAGGAAAACCCCCUAAAACCGUCAUCUAUUAUACUAGCAGCAGACCCUCAGGGAUCCCGGACCGAUUCUCUGGAUCCAGGUCUGGCAGCGUCGGCACCCUGACCAUCAGUGGGCUCCAGGCUGAGGACGAGGCCGACUAUUACUGCUCAGCAUGGGAUGACAGUAGUAGCAGUGGUCCCACAGUGCUGCAGGGGCGUGGGGAAGAUAGAUACACCCUGUGUGGCUCACGAUCCAUUCCUGGAAUCAGGUUUGGCAGCUCAGGGUCCCUGACCCUCACUGGGCUGAGAGCUGAGGACAAGGCUGUCUUUCACAGCCACCCUGUGAUCCUCUGUGGCCUCUGUGCUCACACAGAGCUGAAGGCCUGUGGGACCUGA